AGUGAUCGGACUUGUGGCAGGUGAAGUCUGGCACAAUUUUCGACAACUUCCUAAUUACCAACGACCCCAAGUUGGCAGAAGAGGUCGGCACUGAGACUUGGGGAGCCACAAAAGAUGCUGAAAA